CGGGGCGUAUCAUAAUGGUAGUGUGCACGCAUGGGGUGCGCGCGGCCCGAGUUCGAUUCUCGGCGCCCCGACAA
rnacentral:tRNA from 2 species